AUCCAAUGCAAAUGUUAUAUUAUGUAACUUAUUGAAGAGUUAGUGAGUUAUAGGAGGAUUAAUUAGCAAUAGAAUUGCUAAUUAGCUCAAUUUGAUUGAGCAAUAAGGCUUGCAUUAAGUCUAAUUUGAUUGGAAUUAAUUUGAUUCAUUAUAGAUUUUAUUUGAUCAACCCUAAUAGGAUGAUUAUAAGAUAACUCCAAAA
rnacentral:lncRNA from 1 species